rnacentral:rRNA from 1 species
GAUGAACGCUGGCGGUAUGCUUAACACAUGCAAGUCGAACGGACUCUUCGGAGUUAGUGGCGGACGGGUGAGUAACGCGUGAGAAUCUGGCUUUGGGUUCGGGACAACCACUGGAAACGGUGGCUAAUACCGGAUGUGCCGAGAGGUAAAAGAGAAAUUGCCUGAAGAUGAGCUCGCGUCUGAUUAGCUAGUUGGUGAGGUAAAGGCUCACCAAGGCAGCGAUCAGUAGCUGGUCUGAGAGGAUGACCAGCCACACUGGGACUGGGACACGGCCCAGACGCCUACGGGAGGCAGCAGUGAAGAAUUAUCCGGAAUGGGCGAGUGCCUGACGAAGCAAUACCGCGUGGAGAAAGAAGGCUCUUGGGUUGUAAACCUCUUUUCUUAGGGAAGAACAAAAUGACGGUACCUAAGGAAUCAGCAUCGGCUAACUCCGUG